GGGGCCGUAGCUCAGAGGGAGAGCGCGUGAAUGGCAUUCACGAGGUCGUGGGUUCAAGUCCCACCGGCUCCACCA
rnacentral:tRNA from 5 species